CGGGCACAGGUGCAGAUGGGAGCACGCCUGCUUUGGGAGCAGGAAGUUCUUGGUUCGACUCCAAGGUGCCCGA
rfam:Candidatus Entotheonella sp. TSY2 genomic scaffold TSY2_scaffold00428, whole genome shotgun sequence.